CGGCGGUGUAUCCCGCCACCGUCACCUGCAAAGUUUUGGGUAAUGGUUUGCAUCUUUGCCUAUGGUCAAACAGGAUCAGGCAAAACAUAUACCAGUUGGCUAGAAGCUGUUUCAAUCCAACUGUUCUUUCAGGCAUACUGUGGCUGGACCCUGCGGAUUGUGUUUCAUUAGGACUGUCAGUGGCACUAUUUUCUUGGUCAAAGCCUUUACUGGUUAGAAUUUAUGUGUUGUAAUCUUUAA